UUUUGUGGUUUUGGAUGGACUCGCGGCCUAUCAGCUUGUUGGUGGGGUAAUGGCCUACCAAGGCGACGACGGGUAGCCGGCCUGAGAGGGUGACCGGCCACACUGGGACUGAGACACGGCCCAGACUCCUACGGGAGGCAGCAGUGGGGAAUAUUGCACAAUGGGCGCAAGCCUGAUGCAGCGACGCCGCGUGAGGGAUGAAGGCCUUCGGGUUGUAAACCUCUUUCAGUAGGGAAGAAGCCGCUCUUUCGGGGGUGGUGACGGUACUUGCAGAAGAAGCGCCGGCUAACUACGUGCCAGCAGCCGCGGUAAUACGUAGGGCGCAAGCGUUAUCCGGAAUUAUUGGGCGUAAAGAGCUCGUAGGCGGUUUGUCGCGUCUGCCGUGAAAGUCCGGGGCUUAACCCCGGAUCUGCGGUGGGUACGGGCAGACUAGAGUGCAGUAGGGGAGACUGGAAUUCCUGGUGUAGCGGUGAAAUGCGCAGAUAUCAGGAGGAACACCGAUGGCGAAGGCAGGUCUCUGGGCUGUAACUGACGCUGAGGAGCGAAAGCAUGGGGAGCGAACAGGAUUAGAUACCCUGGUAGUCCAUGCCGUAAACGUUGGGCACUAGGUGUGGGGGACAUUCCACGUUUUCCGCGCCGUAGCUAACGCAUUAAGUGCCCCGCCUGGGGAGUACGGCCGCAAGGCUAAAACUCAAAGGAAUUGACGGGGGCCCGCACAAGCGGCGGAGCAUGCGGAUUAAUUCGAUGCAACGCGAAGAACCUUACCAAGGCUUGACAUGAACCGGAAUGAUGCAGAGAUGUGUCAGCCACUUGUGGCCGGUUUACAGGUGGUGCAUGGUUGUCGUCAGCUCGUGUCGUGAGAUGUUGGGUUAAGUCCCGCAACGAGCGCAACCCUCGUUCCAUGUUGCCAGCGGGUUAUGCCGGGGACUCAUGGGAGACUGCCGGGGUCAACUCGGAGGAAGGUGGGGACGACGUCAAAUCAUCAUGCCCCUUAUGUCUUGGGCUUCACGCAUGCUACAAUGGCCGGUACAAAGGGUUGCGAUACUGUGAGGUGGAGCUAAUCCCAAAAAGCCGGUCUCAGUUCGGAUUGAGGUCUGCAACUCGACCUCAUGAAGUUGGAGUCGCUAGUAAUCGC
rnacentral:rRNA from 1 species